GUCUCGAUGGUGUAACGGAUAGCACAGGACCCUCCGAAGGUCCAGAUCCAGGUUCGAUUCCUGGUCGAGACA
rnacentral:tRNA from 1 species